rnacentral:rRNA from 1 species
CCUACGGGUGGCAGCAGUGGGGAAUAUUGGACAAUGGGGGCAACCCUGAUCCAGCCAUGCCGCGUGUGUGAAGAAGGCCCUCGGGUUGUAAAGCACUUUCAGUGAGGAAGAACGCCUGGUGGUUAAUACCCAUCAGGAAAGACAUCACUCACAGAAGAAGCACCGGCUAACUCCGUGCCAGCAGCCGCGGUAAUACGGAGGGUGCGAGCGUUAAUCGGAAUUACUGGGCGUAAAGCGCGCGUAGGUGGCUUGAUAAGCCGGUUGUGAAAGCCCCGGGCUCAACCUGGGAACGGCAUCCGGAACUGUCAAGCUAGAGUGCAAGAGAGGAAGGUAGAAUUCCCGGUGUAGCGGUGAAAUGCGUAGAGAUCGGGAGGAAUACCAGUGGCGAAGGCGGCCUUCUGGACUGACACUGACACUGAGGUGCGAAAGCGUGGGUAGCAAACAGGAUUAGAUACCCCAGUAGUC